UGGCUCGUUUAAUUUUCAUAAAAUUUUGAUAAAGUAUUUUCUUUGACCCUUUAACAGAAAUAUAAAGAUUUCAAAAAUUUUUAACCAACAGUUUUGUCAGAAAAAUUACAGUAUACUGGACGUAUAUAGGGCAGCUGAAGGUUAUAUAGUUUAGUUUGACAAACACCAUUUUUGAUCAUUGAAAAGCUUAAUAUUCCCUUUACAACACAACGUAAUUAAAACGUUAAGCUGAUUUUACAGAGUUAUCUCCCUGUAGUGUUAGGUACCACC
rnacentral:lncRNA from 1 species